rnacentral:rRNA from 1 species
CCUACGGGUGGCAGCAGUGGGGAAUAUUGCGCAAUGGGCGAAAGCCUGACGCAGCGACGCCGCGUGAGGGAUGAAGGUCUUCGGAUCGGAAACCUCUGUCAGCAGGGAAGAACGGUCACUGUGCUAAGCAGCAGUGAAUUGACGGUACCUGCAAAGGAAGCACCGGCUAACUCCGUGCCAGCAGCCGCGGUAAUACGGAGGGUGCGAGCGUUAAUCGGAUUGACUGGGCGGAAAGGGCUCGUAGGCGGGUUGUCAAGUCAAGGGUGAACUCCCCGCGCUCAACGUGGGAACUGCCUUUGAAACUGGCAACCUGGAGUGUGUGAGAGGAUAGUGGAAUUCCAGGUGU